AUUGAACGCUGCGGCAGGCUUAACACAUGCAAGUCGAGCGAGCGGCGGACGGGUGAGUAAUGCUUCGGAAUCUGCCUAUUAGUGGGGGACAACAUAUCGAAAGGGAUGCUAAUACCGCAUACUAAUAGAUGCGCCUAAGUCGGAUUAGCUAGUUGGUGGGGUAAAGGCCUACCAAGGCGACGAUCUGUAGCGGGUCUGAGAGGAUGAUCCGCCACACGGGGACUGAGACACGGCCCAGACUCCUACGGGAGGCAGAAGUGGGGAAUAUUGGACAAUGGGGGGAACCCUGAUCCAGCCAUGCCGCGUGUGUGAAGAAGGCCUUAUGGUUGUAAAGCACUUUAAGUUGGGAGGCGUUACCCGCAGAAGAAGCACCGGCUAACUCCGUGCCAGCCGCCGCGGUAAUAC
rnacentral:rRNA from 1 species